GAUGAAGAACGUAGCGAAAUGCGAUAAGUAAUGUGAAUUGCAGAAUUCAGUGAAUCAUCGAAUCUUUGAACGCACCUUGCACUCCUUGGUAUUCCGAGGAGUACGCCUGUUCGAGUGUUAUGAAGCUCUCAAAACGCAAUUGGCUUAAAACCUGAUUGUUGUUUUGGAUUUGAACUUUGCCGUGUUAUAACGGCUGGUUUUAAAAGUAUUAGCUGGUACUAGAACGAAUUGGUUCUACUCAACGUGAUAAUUAUCUGAUCGUUGAGGACAUUCCUUUCACGAGGAAUGGCCAUAGUAAAUUCAAUGGACUGCUUCUAAUCUGGCUUUAAUUCUUUAUUGGAUUAACCACUUUUCAAAUCUGACCUCAAAUCAGGUGGGACUACCCGCUGAACUUAAGCAUAUCAAUAAGCGGAGGA
rnacentral:misc_RNA from 1 species